CUUUUGUAAUUGGCGAAGAACAUCGUGCAUUUAUAUAUAAAUAAGCUGGAAAGUUGCACAGGGCAUUCAGGACAAAAAUGGCAAAGUCCUAUCUAAGAGAUAGUAAUGGUGGUUUUGUUAAACAUCGACCCGCGAAAUAUUCUUACUGUAUAAAACAAGAGGAUUGGGAUAAAUUUGUAGCUCAACGUAUGACUGAAAAGUUUCAGAAAGUGAGUCGUGAAAAUCGAGAAAGAGCGUCGAAUCCUCAACAUCCCUAUAGAAAGUCACGUCUAGGGUGUGCUCGUCUUGAAGCUGAUAUGGUAGAAGAGUCGGGAGUUGAUGAGAUAAAUCGUUCUCAAGUGUGGAAAGCUGCCCGCGUCAAUAAGGAUGGGGUGAUUGAUAAUGAGAAUGUUCAAAGAGUUGUGGAUCAAUGUGAGAAGUUAACAGAAGCUCUGACAGAAGAAGAGAGACAAGACAUUGGUCCUACGGACAUAUUAUUUGAGGCUCUAAAUCUCCCAAACUAUUCUGGGCGUGUUAGGAGUUACGGUUUUGGGGUAUGUUCUAAGGACAUAUUUCCACGCCAAAUUCGCCCCACACAAAUGGACUUUCAAAAAUUGUAUGGCUUUUGCAACACACUCAAAAGUAGAUUGGAGGUGCUAGAGAGAGAGAGAAGUUGGAGAGAGAUAAGUUGGAUAGAGAAAAGAUAGAGAGGCAAAAAACUGAAGAAGUGGUUGAGAAAGAACAACCUGAAAAAGUGGCACAGAGCUUGCAACAACUUGAAAAAGUGGAAGAAAGUCAACAACUUGAAAAAGUGGCAGAAAGACAACAAUCUCAACAAGUGUCAAAGAACUUGAAGCAGCGUGAAAAAGGGACACAAAGGCAAGAACCAAGUGAUAAAGGUUCUUGCAACCCUGGAUCAUUUGGAAAUAUUCCCGAGGGUCUCUUUCCUGUUAAUAUAUAUUUAUCAUCGCCGAGUCGGUGUUUGGUUGCUCGUGACAAACUAUAUAACACCAAAGGUAACACAGUGCAGGGCAUGACGUUACCACCUGGAUAUGUCAAGGUUAAUAUCGAAGUUGCUAUUGUGCCAAAUGCUCCGUUGCCGAUAUCUGUUGAUGGUGGAGAUGUAUCGAUGGUUUGUCAUGGAAUAGGAACAAUUGUGCCAUGGCCAAUGAAACUUCUUGAAUUUGUUGCUGAAUGUGAAAAGAAUCCUGAUCAAUCCCAAAACAAAGCUAAGAAUACCCAACGAAGUGUUGAUUCUGUUUCAUCACCUAACAAAAGCAACAAAAAAUCCAAAAUUGAAGAGUCUCCUAGAGUUGGCGGUUCAACCGGUCUUGUAAAUUUACCUUUACUUGAUAUGUAUGUGAAAAAAAUGAUGAGGGUUGGAUCUUUAGUUCAAAUAAAAAUGGAGGAAAGUAUAUUUGGUUAGGAGUUUUUAGAGCAUCUACGUGUAGAGAAUAUAAAAGAGAUUCUUGAUCACAACUGGUUAAGUGCCUCUACUAUCACUGUAUUUGCCAGGUAUUUGUAUGACAAGUUUAUUAGUCCAAAUGGAUUAAUAAAUAAGUUCUCCUUCAUAUCCCCACAUGUAUCACGGGAGGAUAAUAUAGGAAAUGCUGUAGCAAAAAUACUCUUGAAAGAUGAGGAGUACUUCAAGGAUAAGAUGAUUCUUGCACCUUGCAAUCUAGGGUGAGAAUUCUAUUCAAAAUGUUAUUAAAUUUACGAGAACAAACUAUAUAUUCAAUGUAAAUUUUUAUUGCAAUAUUCAAAUGUUGGGUACAUGAAACAUUGGGUGUUACUUGUCAUCAAUCUCGAUGCUGAGGUGAUAUAUUACAUGGACCCGUUGAAUGGUGAGCCAACAAAACAUCAAAAUUUAAAAACCAAGUUUGAGAAUGUGUUGCAAAUUUAUCGUGCUAAUAGUAGUUCUAAAGUGCCUAAAGUCUCCAAGUCAAAGAAAAUUUCAUGGUCAAAAAUUCGGUGUCCCCGUCAAAUUAAUAGCAUUGACUGUGGAUAUUUUGUGAUGCGAUUUAUGAAAGAGGUCAUCAUGGAAAAUGAAAUUAUGAUCCCCGUAAAUUAUUUUGAUGACCACAAAUGUCGUACCUACUCUAACGAUAAGUUAACUGAGGUCAAGGAGGAUUAGGCUACCUAUAUGGUGGAUGAUGUGUUCGGAAAACAAGAAGCAAUUAUUUUGCCUAGCUAGAAAAGUGAUUCGAUGUCUGGGUUCGGAAGUGCUUUGGUUCGCGAAGUGAUUACUACUUGAUGUUGUUUUGUUGUCAUUUCUUGAUUUUUUAGAUGUUUUUUCUCUAGUGUAGAAUAUAUGCUGUACUUUUUUUUUUGGAAUUUAGUUUGAUGCACUUGGACCAAAUUAAUUACUUGUGGCAAAAGUUUUAGCUUAAUUUCAUUGAGAUCAAUGUUGAAUCUGGUUUGUUAUAUCAUUUAUCACUAUUAUGUAGUGUAGAUUGAUCUAUAUACAUAGAUACAAUUCCUUCCAUAUUUUUUAAUUAAUUAUAUGGCAAUG